rnacentral:lncRNA from 1 species
AAUGAUUCUAAUUCAUCCCAUAGACCUUUAAGUUUAUUGAAAUAUGAAGCUACAUCUAGGGACCCUUGAGAGGUGUGAGAAAGCUCUCUAUUUAAUUCAAAAAAUUUGGUCCUGUUGGCAGUGCCAUAUCUGGCAUGAAGCUGGGACCAUAUACUUUGUGCAGUAUCAGAAUACUGCACACUUUCAGCAAUUUGAGGGGAGAGGGAGGCAGUCAACCAGGAAAUCACCAUAUUAUUGCAUCUGUCCCAGGGUCUUUGCUGAGUCACAUUAGUGACUGGCCGGGGACAUGUGCCAUCAACAAAACCGAUUUUGUUUUUAGCAGAUAACGCGACAAUCAUCUUCCUCCUCCAGCCCCCAUAGCCACUGCCCGAGAAGGGAGUGGACACAAGAGAGAAUCCAGGAACAUCAGAGGAGUAGAUAAAAAGGGGACUCGUAGGGUCCACUAGGAUGUACUAGCAUUCAUAUUAGAAGCCAUGAAUAACAAUCAGUUUGAAAUAAAAAAUAUAGUCUCAGAACCCACAUGCAAAACAUACAACACUUAAAAUAGGGAUAGAGUUACCCUCCUUCUUCGCGACCGGAGAAGAACGGCCUUCAAUCACCAGAUAAAAAUCCUAGGUUAAAAACCCUAGGUCCAACCGCCGGAAACCUUACUAGAAACUUACCGAAAUAGGGUCAUGGAUGUCGGAAAGUCACCCAAAACAUCCACUAAGUGAGGAUCGAGCCACCGGAUAGCAGUAAAACCCUAGGUUCAACCACCAGAAACCCUAGAAU